rnacentral:rRNA from 1 species
CGUACGCAACUUUCCUCAAACCGGGGCACAACCUUGAGAAAUCAGGGCUAAUUCCCCAUAACAUUGCGAGAGGGCAUCUGAUCGCAAUUAAAGAUUCGUCGGUUUGAGAUGGGCGUGCGUUCGAUUAGCUAGUUGGUAGGGUAAUGGCUUACCAAGGCAACGAUCGAUAGCUGGUGUGAGAGCACGACCAGCCACACGGGCACUGAGACACGGGCCCG